rnacentral:rRNA from 1 species
CAGUCGAACGAUGAAGCCCAGCUUGCUGGGUGGAUUAGUGGCGAACGGGUGAGUAACACGUGAGUAACCUGCCCUCGACUCCAGGAUAAGCCCGGGAAACUGGGUCUAAUACUGGAUAUUCAAUUUCCAUCGCAUGGUGGUUUUUGGAAAGGAUUCUGGUCGAGGAGGGACUCGCGGCCUAUCAGCUUGUUGGUGAGGUAAUGGCUCACCAAGGCGACGACGGGUAGCCGGCCUGAGAGGGUGACCGGCCACACUGGGACUGAGACACGGCCCAGACUCCUACGGGAGGCAGCAGUGGGGAAUAUUGCACAAUGGGCGAAAGCCUGAUGCAGCGACGCCGCGUGAGGGAUGACGGCCUUCGGGUUGUAAACCUCUUUCAGUAGGGAAGAAGCGAAAGUGACGGUACCUGCAGAAGAAGCGCCGGCUAACUACGUGCCAGCAGCCGCGGUAAUACGUAGGGCGCAAGCGUUAUCCGGAAUUAUUGGGCGUAAAGAGCUCGUAGGCGGUUUGUCGCGUCUGCCGUGAAAGUCCGGGGCUUAACUCCGGAUCUGCGGUGGGUACGGGCAGACUAGAGUGCUGUAGGGGAGACUGGAAUUCCUGGUGUAGCGGUGAAAUGCGCAGAUAUCAGGAGGAACACCGAUGGCGAAGGCAGGUCUCUGGGCAGUAACUGACGCUGAGGAGCGAAAGCAUGGGGAGCGAACAGGAUUAGAUACCCUGGUAGUCCAUGCCGUAAACGUUGG